rnacentral:rRNA from 1 species
GACGAACGCUGGCGGCGUGCUUAACACAUGCAAGUCGAACGGAAAGGCCCUGCUUUUGUGGGGUGCUCGAGUGGCGAACGGGUGAGUAACACGUGAGUAACCUGCCCUUGACUUUGGGAUAACUUCAGGAAACUGGGGCUAAUACCGGAUAGGAGCUCCUGCUGCAUGGUGGGGGUUGGAAAGUUUCGGCGGUUGGGGAUGGACUCGCGGCUUAUCAGCUUGUUGGUGGGGUAGUGGCUUACCAAGGCUUUGACGGGUAGCCGGCCUGAGAGGGUGACCGGCCACAUUGGGACUGAGAGACGGCCCAGACUCCUACGGGAGGCAGCGGUGGGGAAUAUGACGCAAUGGGCGGAAGCCUGAUACAACAGCGCCGCGUGCGGGAUGACGGCCUUCGGGUUGUAAACCGCUUUCGCCUGUAACGAGGCGUGAGUGACGGUAAUGGGUAAGGAAGCACCGGCUAACUACGUG